GAAAUCUCGGGAGUGGUCGUGUGAGUAGAAUGUUGCCUGCGUAGAGUGUUACUUUAAACUUAUGCUUGUUUACUUCGAUGCCCUUUAUCUCCUCUGUUGAUCUUCUGCUAGAUAGAUAAAGCAUAUAGCAGAGGAGAUAAAGGGCAGCCCUGUUGUGUACCAUUUUGGAUACUGAAAAAAGAUGAACUUAAAAAUGGACCUAGAAAACAAAUCAAA